rnacentral:lncRNA from 1 species
CGCAUCAUAGGGCAAAAAUCCAAAAAUAUCCCUGAUGUUUACCCCAAUUUCUCACUUCCACCCUAAACUAUUUUUUUUUAAAAAAAUACACUUAACGUUAUAAAAUUUGGGUCAACUGUGCCCCUCUCGUUAACGGAUCUGCCACUCAGACAAACGUGACCAACACCUAAACAAUUUUUAGUGAGAAGAUUGACACCUGGAUAAAUUUUUAUUACCCAAAAUAUUCAGAUUUAUUUUUUCUCUCUAAACCCUUUUCUCUGUAAACUCAUUUUACUCGGAUCUAUUUACCUUCUCCUCCGAAACUUUAAUUUCCUCAGGCACCGGUUCAAGCUCUCGCUUCUUCUCUUUCACCGGCUGCUCAUCUUCUUUCUCUCCGACGAAACAUUAGACAUCUCCAUAUAUAUCUUCCGGAGACUGUGCUUGAAGCUUAAUGUUAAGAAAAACUCCAAGAGCCUGCAUAAACCUUGGAUCCUUCAAAUAAAGAUUCAAAUUGUCGGGGGUUUUCUGAAGGUUGUUCAUCAUAUUAACAAAAUCUAGUUGUUGCAUAUAACCCUUAGUUGACGGGUCGGAGGUAAGAUCUGUUGGAGUAGAGGUCGUUAUUAUUGGGAUGAAAGAUGAGGCAGAGAUCUAAGUUAUUUUGCGUGUAAGUCGAUAGCUCUAUCAUGUUGGCUCUUACUAUCAUUGUCUAAGCCUUCAGGUUGUGUUUCAGUUUUCUGUAUUUUGUGUUUUGAUUCUGGAGUUCAUAAAAUUUUAUGGGAAUUUGUUUUUUCCUUAUCAGUAUUUGAGAUUUGAUGAUUGUGUUAUUUCUAAUAGUUCCUUAUUUUGUUACUUCAAAACUAAAAGUGAACUUUAUGAUUUUCCAAUUGCUUUUAGUCGAUGUUCUUAAUAUGGCCAAUCAAAAGAGAUUUAGAGUUUGGUUGGGCUUGAGCUCAUGCAUCUCUUGAUGUCGUUAAUGUGUGUUAAAAAAUAGUAUUCAGCUUUACUUUUUUGGCUACAGUGCAAAUUAUUGUAAUGUUGACGAAAAUGUGUUACAGUGUAUUAUCUUGUAUCGUGUAAUAAUGGAAACAUGGAGGUUGUUCAUCCUGGAUCUAAGCAGCUUCAUCCGAAUUUACAGAAAAUAGGUUUAGAGAGAGAAAAUGGCAGACACUAAAUAAUGAUCGGAUGAGUUUGAAAUUAAGUGGUUUAAUUUGUUUUAAUUAGGAGUUAAAAUUCAAUCUUCAUGUUUUGUCACUAAAAUUUGUCUAAUCACGUCAACCACGUUAGUCUAGAUGACAAACAUUAGAGGCAUUUUUAGAUAUUUCCCUCACAUAGUAUGCUUAGGUGAAUAUUCAAUAAUUAAAAAACACAACAAAUUAAUUAAUAACUAAACAUAAAAUCAAAAACAAAAAUAAGUCCAAAUCAAAUCAAAGCAUGCUUUUUCGUAUUCCUCUUCCUCCUUUAUUUUUUUCAAGUGAUAAAUUCCCUAAAAAAACCCUAAAUUUCAAGUUUUGUAUCAUUACGAAGCAACUAAUUCAACAUCUAAAACUUUUUCGAUCUUCAUAAUCCUUCAUCAACAACCCGAUUUUCCGGGAUGGAAUCACCGGUGUUGUGCAAUCAAUGAAGCAUUCUAGGUUUGAUUGAAUUGACCUUUUCUCUAAAAUCAUAUGGUUUCAAUAAGAUAGAGAGAGAAAGGUUUUACAGCUUUCCCUCUCCUACCCCUGAAAAUAGAAGAAGCCUACGUAACAGAGGAAAAAACAAAGAUUGAGAGAGGAAAUGAUGGGCGAGAGAAUUUAACGGGAUUUUUUUGCUGUUACGUAGAGAGAAAAUGAGAGAGGAAAGAGGGAGAAGAGGGAAAUUGUUUACACGAAUUCUAUUUAUUGACUUCUACACACCUAAUUUUUAUACAAAUUCUCUCUCCCAAAACUCUCUCUCUCUCCUUGUUUACUCUUUGAAAAAAUCAAAAGAAUUCUUUGCAGAAUAUUCUCAAUUCAUUAUCCUAUGGCCUAUGCCAGGCUCCGCCGAGUUUUUCUCGUCAACAAAGGGAAGCCAGAAAAAUAAAUAAAUAAGGGAAUUGAUAUUUUUACCUAAUUUUUUGAUAUUUUAACAUGAAAAGUGUCUCCAUAGGAUGCGACGAUUUUCACGUGAAAACAUCAAAAAAUCAUGUAGAAACUUCUAAAAAAUAAACCCAAAAAACUGUUGAAAACAAGUUAAAUAAUUUCACUUACCUUGAAGAAAACUCAAACGCAACCCAAAGAUUGAGACUUCACUUCAAUUAAGUGGCGACAAUUCAAAGCUAAUCUAAACCCAGAAACUCAAAUCUACAAUAUGCCAUCCACAAUUCCAUCUUCAUCUCCGUAAUCUCCGUAGAUAAAAAAAAGUAGAGAAUGAAAAAAAUUAGAGAGAUUUUUUUCUUUCUAAUUUUCACCCACACCACACUCACACACCCAAUAAUUGUAAUUUCCUCAUGACAGCCUUAUGGACGAAUUUUGGAAACCCACUUGUUAGUUCAAUAAAAUUAAGUUUUUUUUUGUCGUUAAAAGUCAACUGAUUUAAAAAGAUUUUGUAAUAUUUUGUUAAAAAAAUAUAAUACAAUGAGUUGAAUGAAAAAAAAAAUCAGUUCAAUUAUAUAUUUAAAAACUGAGAUCGAAUAUAAUGGACAAAAAUAUAUAUUUACAUCGACUUUAAUAUAAUGAAGCUAUUCGUUUUUGGGCUAUUUUAAAAAUAUAAAAAAACAGCCUUCUAGGUAGGAAAGUGAGGAGUAGGAAGGCAAUUAAGAUAGCUUUGUUGAAUGCCCCACCUGCUGUUUAAUGUGGGCCUUGUGGCCAUCGCCUAAUGGUAGCGGUUGGGUCAUGAUAUUUUAUUUAGUGGGCCGGAUGAACUGGACUUACUUAUUUAAUUAGUCUAUUAGGCCUCUACUAUUGGGUCUCAAUGUUAUUGGGCCUAGUCACUAUCUUAUUUAUGGUAAGUCUUUAUAAAAUCGGGUCAGAUCAUUGGAUUGACCCAUUAGAUAUUAAAUAUCUAUUACUGUGACCGGUAAUGAUGAAAAAGUAUGAUGGUUGACUGUUGUAACUGCAAAUCAUUAAUGUGGAUGGAAUUAUUACCGGCCAGCGGCAAAAACAGUGCAUGGGAAAGGUGACAGCCUGCAUGCAGUCGGCAGAAGAAAUCACUGAAGAGUAGGGGGCUAUGUCAGACGGUAAUAAGUGACAUGAUAAACCGGGCAAGAGAGUAUAACCUAACAAGGAAGUCUUCAAGCAAACGGUAUGUACACACACAUUCAACUAAGAUUUUUAUCUCUCAAGACUUUAGAUAUUUUAUCAUCCAUUGUUAACCCUUGUGAACACUGGUACUGACUCUCACGUCUGAGCUAUCCCCCGACGGUCGAAGCAGUCAAGUUUUUGGUGUUGAUCGUGUUUACUGUACAGGAUCAAGGCAUCUUACGUGAUUGAAACGUUGGAGAAGAUCUUGGCGUUAACAGUAACAAACGAGUUCCAGUUCCUGUGUCGUUGAUAAGAUUUCUGAUGGUCGUGCGAAUGAUUUUGUGUUUCUCUUAAUUAAUCGUCUCAUGUAUUAAUCGUCUCAUGUCGUGUUCGUGUUUGAUACCGCGUCUACCAAUUAACUAUGCCAUGACAAUUGCGCUAAAGUCAGUCAAUUGUGGCGACUCCAUCCUUCCAAUAUAUAUAUAUAUAUAUAUAGAACUACGUUGUCAGAUUUAUUUUUAAUUUUUUGAUUUGAGAGAGAAUUAUUUUUUUUAAAAAAAUAAUUAUAUUAAAACAACAUAAUUUUAAUAAAUUGUGAAUAAUAAAACUUACAUAACUGUUUACGGUACUACUGCCCAUAUAUAUAUUCUUGGCCCUUAGACCAAAAACGUGUGCUGACCUUCCAGCGUUAUAUUCUUUUCACAUUUUCCGACUGUUAUUUUGAUAAUAUUCCCUCUAUUAUACCUUUUUUUUAGAAACUAAUUAUACUUUUCAAACAUAUAGGCCAGAUCUCAGACGGACCUUAAAGGACGGACUAACAACGGACUAAGAGAAAAAAAUCACGCGGGUCAUAAAAAGGGGAGAAACAAAACUCGCGGGUCACAGCUGAAAUGGGGAAAACAAAACUCGCGGGUCACAAUUGAAAGGGGGAAAACAAAUUCGCGGGUCACAGCUGAAACGGGUCACAGCUGAAAGGGGGGAAACAAAUUCGUCAAAGCUGAAAGGGGGAAAACCAAACUGAGCUAAGCUUUUCCACAAAUUCCCUCUCUUUCUCCCCAAAUUCUGCCAAUUCUCUCUCCCCGAUUCGAGCACCACAAAUUCCCUCUCUCUCAAAGCGAGUCUGAAGCAAACCGGAAGGCAAAAAGAAGAUCGAANNNNNNNNNNNNNNNNNNNNNNNNNNNNNNNNNNNNNNNNNNNNNNNNNNNNNNNNNNNNNNNNNNNNNNNNNNNNNNNNNNNNNNNNNNNNNNNNNNNN